UACAGAGGGUGCAAGCGUUAAUCGGAAUUACUGGGCGUAAAGCGUGCGUAGACGGUUGCGUAAGUCAGAUGUGAAAGCCCCCGGCUCAACUGGGGAGGGUCACGCGAUACUGAUCGACUCGAAGGCAGGAGAGGGAAGUGGAAUUCCCGGUGUAGUGGUGAAAUGCGUAGAUAUCGGGAGGAACACCAGUGGCGAAGGCGACUUCCUGGCCUGUUCUUGACGCUGAGGCGCGAAAGCUAGGGGAGCAAACGGG
rnacentral:rRNA from 1 species